rnacentral:rRNA from 1 species
UACAGAGGGUGCAAGCGUUAAUCGGAAUUACUGGGCGUAAAGCGUGCGUAGACGGUUAUGUAAGUCAGGUGUGAAAGCCCCGGGCUCAACCUGGGAAUUGCAUUCGAGACUGCAUAGCUAGGGUGCGGAAGAGGGAAGCGGAAUUUCCGGUGUAGCGGUGAAAUGCGUAGAUAUCGGAAGGAACACCAGUGGCGAAAGCGGCUUCCUGGUCCAGCACCGACGUUCAGGCACGAAAGCGUGGGGAGCAAACAGG